AGUGAACGCUGGCGGCAGGCCUAACACAUGCAAGUCGAACGGCAGCACAGGAGAGCUUGCUCUCUGGGUGGCGAGUGGCGGACGGGUGAGGAAUAUAUCGGAAUCUACCCUUUCGUGGGGGAUAACGUAGGGAAACUUACGCUAAUACCGCAUACGAACUGAGGUUGAAAGCGGCGGACCGCAAGGCGUCGCGCGGAUGGAUGAGCCGAUAUCCGAUUAGCUAGUUGGCGGGGUAAAGGCCCACCAAGGCGACGAUCGGUAGCUGGUCUGAGAGGAUGAUCAGCCACACUGGAACUGAGACACGGGCCAGACUCCUACGGGAGGAAGCAGUGGGGAAUAUUGGACAAUGGGCGCAAGCCUGAUCCAGCCAUGCCGCGUGUGUGAAGAAGGCCUUCGGGUUGUAAAGCACUUUUGUUGGGAAAGAAAAGCGGUCGGUUAAUACCCGGUCGUUCUGACGGUACCCAAAGAAUAAGCACCGGCUAACUUCGUGCCAGCAGCCGCCGUAACAC
rnacentral:rRNA from 1 species